CUUAGGGCAGCACCGCCUACAUUUCCCAGAGGGCUGUGCGACGCUCGCGUUGACCCUGAGCAUCCGUGGACACUAAAAAGAACAUUUCUGAAAUUAAAGAAGCUCAUGAAGAGUUUAUCAGAAACAUAACUCUCCCACGGCACAAGUUAAGGCUCCUUGGGGACUUCUCCAGUCAAGAAUGACCCCAGUAAUGGUGGGGGCUGUGUCCUUGGCCCCC
rnacentral:lncRNA from 1 species